GUGGUGGUGCACACCUGUAGUCCCAGCUACUCAGGAGGCUGAGGCACAAGAAUCACUUGAACCCGGGCAGCAGAGGUUGCAACGAGAGCCGAGAUAGCGCCACUACACUCCCUCCUGGGCAACACAGCGAGGCUCCAUCUCAAUUAAAAAAUAAAAAGAAAAAAGGAAUUGCCGUUGGGCUUCAAGAAGACUAACAUUAACUCUUUCUCUGUCUCCCACUCGGUUAUCAUGGCUUCUGCUCUGACCACUUAAUCUCCAUGGUCUCAGAAAAACCAGGUGAGUCUGGAUGAGUAGGCAAAAGUGGGGCUGGAUAGGAGAGGAAACAGACUGACGGAGGAAAGGAAGAUCUGCAGGAGUGGACAUUUUAAACCUGUCCUUCAGGGUAGGUGUAGUGGGUGAGAGGUCUUUUCAGCUUGUGUAUUUGUACAGACUCUAGCGGGCGGGGAGGAGAAAGCAAAAGUAAGGGCUCUGAACUGUGUCCUUGAGGAAGCCGAUGAUUUGUUCACUUCCAGUGACAUGGGAAGCAUGUGGAGAGUCAGGAAAUGGGGUAUGUUUACUGGGAAGGAUGAAGGAAACCUCAGGUCUUUCUUGUUUUCAGCUCUAAAGUAGUGUAAGUACCUCAUUGUCCUCUAUUUCUCUCUGCGUCAUGGACCCAGUCUGUAGUCUGGAAUAAUUUCCCCAUAUGCUUAGGGAACUCUGUCUUGUUCCCCAGAGGUAAAAUUAGCUAGAUUUAUGUGGGUUGAAAGUUUUAGUAGUCUGAGCCUGUGAGAACAAGAAUGUCAAAAAGUAGUAAAGAAAACCUGACUCUGGAAUUCUCAUUCACAGAAUACUGCAACUAUCCUCCAAUGAAGGGCACCUGUAAAAUACAUUUGACCAGAUUCUACUACAACACUUUGACAUUUUUAUGUGAGCCCUUUGUCUUCAGUGGCUGUGGAGGCAACAGAAACAACUUUAAACAGAAAUAUAUCUGUGAAAAAUUUUGUAUUACUGAAAAGGACCGAAGUCAAUAGGGCCUUAAUACGACAGAAGGAGGAAACAAGGAAAAAAAGAGUAUGCUCUAUGAAAAAUCAUGCCAACGUUAAUCUGAGAAGAUAAAUUGGAUUAUUUCUUUAAAAAUUUUGAAUUCUGAAUUCUUUCUAAUUUCCUUGCCCAGGUUUACCUUUCAUACUAAUUAGAUAUAUAAAACCUUAACUGAAAAUUUUCUGUAUGUCAGCUCUGGUCUGUAUUCAUUCAUCUCCCCCAUUCUAGAUUCUUCCAACAUAUACUGCAAAUGACCUCUCUGCAGGGACCAACCUAUCCAUGUAAUGCAUCAGUGUAUGUAAAGGCAAUCAUUAUUGAUAUCUCCUGGGCAUGACUUGCCAAAACUGAAUUUCUUUCUGUAUUUUGUCGCUGACCUCAGUGGGAUUUGCAUGUAGGUGGCACCAAGAUAAUCAUUAUCAAAUUCUUUCAUCUGCUCCAAAUCAAAGGGCAUUCAACCGACAAAAAAUGAUCAUAUUCUAG
rnacentral:lncRNA from 1 species